rnacentral:rRNA from 1 species
GAUGAACGCUGGCGGCGUGCCUAAUACAUGCAAGUCGAGCGAACAGACGAGGAGCUUGUUCCCCUGACGUUAGCGGCGGACGGGUGAGUAACACGUGGAUAACCUACCUCUAAGACGGGGAUAACAUCGGGAAACAGCUGCUAAUACCGCAUAAUAUAUUCAACCGCAGGGAUCAAUAGUGAAAGACGGUUUUGCUGUCACUAAGAGACGGAUCCGCGCCGCAUUAGCUAGUUGGUAAGGUAACGGCCUACCAAGGCAACGAUGCGUAGCCGACCUGAGGGGGUGAUCGGCCACACUGGAACUGAGACACGGUCCAGACUCCUACGGGAGGCAGCAGUAGGGAAUAUUCCGCAAUGGGCGAAAGCCUGACGGAGCAAUCCCGCGUGGGUGAUGAAGGUCUUCGGAUCGUAAAGCUCUGUUGUUGGGGAAGAACAACUGUAGAAUUAACUAUGCACGUCUUGACGGUACCUAAUCAGAAAGCCACGGCUAACUACGUG